AUUUUUAUAGUUUAAAUAAAACAUAGCUCUGAAAAAGCUAUAAUAAAUAAUAUUAUUAUUUUAAAAAUA
rnacentral:tRNA from 1 species